rnacentral:rRNA from 1 species
GAUGAACGCUAGCUACAGGCUUAACACAUGCAAGUCGAGGGGCAUCAUGACGAAAGCUUGUCUUUUGUUGAUGGCGACCGGCGCACGGGUGAGUAACGCGUAUCCAACCUUCCCUUAGUAGAGGAUAGCCCGGCGAAAGUCGGAUUAAUACUCUACGUUCUUUCUGGAUGGCAUCUGAUGGAAAGCAAAGGUUCAUCGCUAAGGGAUGGGGAUGCGUCUGAUUAGAUAGUAGGCGGGGUAACGGCCCACCUAGUCAACGAUCAGUAGGGGUUCUGAGAGGAAGGUCCCCCACAUUGGAACUGAGACACGGUCCAAACUCC